ACAGGACGUGAGGAGGAUUCCCUCGAGGAGGGUUCGGAUCGACGGCAGGUUUAGCCGUACACUAUCGCAGCGUUGCUGACCGGCUUAGGAGUGGAGGCUAGCACCACCUUUGCUAUCUAUCCUCAGUAGGUUAUUUAUUAACCUACCUUAUGUAUCAUAUUUCGAGUGUGUUCUAUAGAUUGCUCUGAUUACCUUAAAAGGUUGGAUUUAUACAUUUGUAUAAUUAUGAGUGUAUGGGAGUUGUAUAAUAUUGGAGGAAGUUGAAAGAUUUGAAUUGCUGGGUUGUAAUUUAUAUCAGUGGUUAUGUUGGUGUAGUACGAUGUUUAUAUUUGGAAA